UAGGGAAUCUUCCGCAAUGGGCGAAAGCUUGACGGAGCAACGCCGCGUGAGUGAUGAAGGUCUUCGGAUCGUAAAACUCUGUUAUGAGGGAAGAACAAAUGUGUAAGUAACUAUGCACGUCUUGACGGUACCUAAUCAGAAAGCCACGGCUAACUACGUGCCAGCAGCCGCGGUAAUACGUAGGUGGCAAGCGUUAUCCGGAAUUAUUGGGCGUAAAGCGCGCGUAGGCGGUUUUUUAAGUCUGAUGUGAAAGCCCACGGCUCAACCGUGGAGGGUCAUUGGAAACUGGAAAACUUGAGUGCAGAAGAGGAAAGUGGAAUUCCAUGUGUAGCGGUGAAAUGCGAAGCGAUAUGGAGGAACACCAGUGGCGAAGGCGACUUUCUGGUCUGUAACUGACGCUGAUGUGCGAAAGCGUGGGGAUCAAACAGG
rnacentral:rRNA from 1 species